rnacentral:rRNA from 1 species
AGUUUGAUUCUGGCUCAGGAUGAACGCUGGCGGCGUGCUUAACACAUGCAAGUCGAACGGAGUUUUUAAACGGAAGUUUUCGGAUGGAAGUUUAGAAACUUAGUGGCGGACGGGUGAGUAACGCGUGGGUAACCUGCCUCAUACAGGGGGAUAACAGGUUAGAAAUGACUGCUAACACCGCAUAAUAUAGCGAAACCGCAUGAUUUUUGCUAUCAAAUAUUUAUAGGUAUGAGAUGGGCCCGCGUCUGAUUAGCUAGUUGGUGGGGUAAAAGCCUACCAAGGCGACGAUCAGUAGCCGGCUUGAGAGAGUGACCGGCCACAUUGGGACUGAGACACGGCCCAAACUCCUACGGGAGGCAGCAGUGGGGAAUAUUGGACAAUGGGGGAAACCCUGAUCCAGCGACGCCCGCGUGAGUGAAGGAGUAUUUCGGUAUGUAAAGCUCUAUCAGCAGGGAAGAUAAUGACAGUACCUGACUAAGAAGCCCCGGCUAACUACGUGCCAGCAGCUGC